rnacentral:rRNA from 1 species
CCGAAUGGGAUAGGGAUCUUCCGCAUGGACGAAAGUCUGACGGAGCACGCCGCGUGAGUGAUGAAGGUUUUCGGAUCGUAAAGCUCUGUUGUUAGGGAAGAACAAGUGCCGUUCAAAUAGGGCGGCACCUUGACGGUACCUAACCAGAAAGCCACGGCUAACUACGUGCCAGCAGCCGCGGUAAUACGUAGGUGGCAAGCGUUGUCCGGAAUUAUUGGGGUAAAGGGCUCGAGGUUUCUAAUUGGAGUG